AGGAUACCUUGCAGGAGUUGGUUCUCUCCUUCCACCGUCAUACCUAUGAUGUAGAACCACCUCAUGUACACCAGCGAUGCACCUUUUGAGAAAGUGGUUCUCCCGGCACCAGCCCUCAAAGUGAAAGCUCUCAUCUCUUGGGAUCCUGCCGUCUCCUGCAGUGUUCUCCAGCCCUGACCUGUGCCCCACAUGGGUUUCCUCAGCCUUAGUCACAGCCAAGCAUAUCCGCUUUGGGACUUCCACAUAGGGUUCUGGGGACUGAACUCAGGCCAGCAUUUUCCUGACCGAGCCACCCUCCCCAGACCUACGACCUUCCUGCUAAGAACACCAGUCAUGGGAUGAGACCCUAAGACAUCUUCAGUUGAUCACCUCUGUAGAGACUCCGCCCCCAGGGCUGAAGAGGUGAUUAAGAGCAUGCAGGAGAUCUGAGAAGGUGCUGUUGGAGCUGCCUCCCUCUGUCACUGCACAAGGCUCUCUGGAACCACCGAACUGGGAGAACGAUGCACCCUAGCAGCCAAGUGGCUUGGAAAACGCAUUUAGGCUCAAACAAAAGGCACCAAUUGAACAAAGCCAGCAAGACACGGCACUAAUUGGCAGCCACACUCUGUUUCCCCCCCUCCAGCUGCCUCUGGAAUCAGAAAACAACCAUUCGAGUGAAAGCCAUGAAAUUAAAAUGCUUUUUAAA
rnacentral:lncRNA from 1 species